rnacentral:lncRNA from 1 species
AUGGAUGAAGGAGAAGAGAGGGAAGUGACAAACGUUCUGGGCCCAGACGAACAUGUCCAUGAGAGCCAGCAGGUGCGUUUGGUUCUGUUCAGUCCCAGUGGGGUGCUAGGUUUCAUUGUUUCCAGCACAGAUGUUCUGGAUGCAUUUCUCACAGGUAAGUCUCGAGAGCCCUUGCAGGUUAACCCAAGUCCCAGCCAGACUAAGCUAUUCAUUUUCUUUCAGCAAGUUCGCGCAGAGGGUGUCUCUUGUCAGGCACUGCAAACGACUUACAAAAUUUCGUUUUUAUCUGGGAGUAACCAAUGGGAACUUGCACUGGCUGCACAUUUAGCUCCCUGGGAAGUGGUCAGAGGAAGAUUGUAGGGUGAUGUUGGUCUUCCAAGGAAUUAAGAGAACACUCCCUUUGCAGACAGGUCUGCUUGGAGGGUGCAUGCUCAGUGGCAUGCCUCUUGAUUCCAAUUGUUCCUGAUUUAUGGUAGUCUCGGUGAGAGCAGAAUUUGGCCUUGUGAUCUGUAAUCACCCACAGGGACAAAAGAAAUGGUUCUGCAUUGCUAAGGGUUAGUUAUUUUUUCCCAUGCUGCUCAUGUAGCAGAAUUCAUUCUGUGUUCUUCUGUUGCCCGUGGCAGGAGAUCUUGCAUCAGACACCUUUCUGCAGAAAGGUCAUCGAGGCCGGAAGGCUUCCUCCAGAGGUAUUGCUGCCUUGCCCCUUGUCCCCAACCCAAUAGUGUGUUUGGAAACAGGAGACGCCGUCCUUUUCCAGCUUAGCAUCAAUCCCCACAGUAAGUGUUGUCGUUAGGGUCUGCGUGCUCUUUGCAGAUGCACGUGUAUCCAGACCCGUUUAGAGCUGUGGCUCUGCGCUUGAUAGUACUGCAUGUCUGAGCACACUCUUUCACCUCCAUGGCUCUCUUGCCUUCAGGGGACUCCUGAUCUUUAGUCCAGGCUCUGCCAGUGGCUCAUCUGGUGUUUUUAUUUUUGACUGAGUUUCCGUAGAGUAGAGAUAAAAUGCUUCCUGUGUUAGAUGAGCGUAAGCCUUUGUUGGGCAAUGGCACGCACUUCGCUUAAACGUCUUGGCGCUACGUGUCCCCAUAGAACCAAUACAGUCACGUAGCACUUUGCCGGACCGGUGUUAGCUCUCCUAACUGAAGCGACUCGGAGUUGCUGACGCUGUGCUGAACUGUUCCCAGAUCGUGCAUCCAGCCAUUACCCUGUUUAUCAGAAGCUGCAUCUUUAUAACAGCAACCCAGGCUGGGAUUUUGGGCCCUUCCGAAGGCUAGACCACCUCGUCCGAGAGACUCACCUCAACAUCUCCUGGUAACAUCUGAUGUGACUAACGGUGCAUAUGUUAGGGGCAGGACUUGAGUAUGGGUCUCUUGGGGUCCUUGGCAGUCAGCAGCAUGUGAAAAUGCAGAAUGAAGUUGGGUAUGUUCAAGUGCUUGUGUUUAGCCAUCAUCACUGCUGUAAGUUAAAGGAUCCUUAGGGCAACCAGUGUCUUUCCUGCUUCUUCCUUUUAGGUUUGCCCAUGUUUUCCUGGAUUCUGGGACGUAUGUUUUCAGGGACAGGACCAUUCAGGAACACUUCCUGAUUGUGACUGUGAAUGAGGCUCACGUGGGCUGUGACCCCAGAGGUGUGUCGUUCCAGCCCUCUUCUCCGUUCCAGCUGGCCAGGCAUGGGGUCCUGAAGCAUCAGGAGCUGAACUUAGCUCCGAACUGGGCUGCUAUCGCAGGUAUAGCUAAAACACUGGCCGCUGUGACACCGGACAGCCUGAUGCCUAGCCCUGACCUUCCUUGUACCUGCUUGGGUGUGUUUAAACAAGCAUCUCUUUGGAAAUGCCAUCAAACCGCUGGCUUUGUCAGUUUUAAUCCCCUUCACCUGUGGAGUUCCCCUUCCCUAAGUUCACUGUUCUCUAGCCAAGAACCUGCCUGUGGUAGGAACUGAAGGAAAAAGACAGGGAAGUAGCGGUUGUGUUUCUCCCCCCACCCUGCCUGAAGAAUUCAGGUAAUUGAGGGCUUUGUUCCCCUAGGCAUGAAAGCAGAAAGUGUUACUGUGUUUCCGUGAUAAACAAAACUGACAUAGCAUGCAUCAUUUAAAAGUUCACUGAAAGUUUAAACAGAAGGGCAGCUAAGGUCUUACCCCAGAGCAUACCUCUGCGUAAGCGCUGUGCACAUACCAGCCCCUUGUCCCUUAGUGAGACGACAGCAAAGCAAUAGAAAUCAAAGCAUGGCUUGCAAAUAAGAGGGUUCUGUCACCUUCAGCUACCCGUGCUGAAAACAUCUUGCCUCCUUACCCGCCAUGCAUCAGAUCAGCGAGGGAAGGAGUAGAAGUCCGUAUAGGAAAGAUGAAAACAGCUACAUGUUAGUUUCAGGUGGGAGGGACAGUGUUCAGUGAAGUUUAAAUGGACGCACUGCUGCUGAUACACACUGUCUCCUGUGUUUCUCGCUUCUUGCCGUUCCUCUUGGCUUUCCCAGUGGUACUCCUUGUUUUGGGCUUCCUAAUUGUGGCAUUCACAACCCUGGCUAUUGUGCUCCAGUCCCCUGAUCCCACCCUUAGCCCCCUGAAGAGCUGGAAGCCGCGAUGGAGGAGCCUGGGAGAGCCACACGUCCCACCGGAAUACGUGUUAGUUAAAGACAGGUAAGCUCCCUCUGCGUGGUCGACCAUCAGGAGCUCAGGCCACGCCAGUACGAAGGCCUGCAGAGCAGGAGCAGUGAAGGAAGUGGGACUCCUCUGCGUGUCCUACUGCAGUUACUGAGCCUCCCAGUCCCUGGUGCUGGACUCCUCUCCAGCACUAUGGUAGGUUGAGUUUCCAUCUGCGCAGCAAGCCGCUUGGUUUUCCUCAUGGGUUCCCCUAUGUUAUUCUGGUUCUUUUCUGAUACAGGGCAUGACACCUCUAUUGUAUCCUCUGCACAGAGCCAUUAUCUCCCUACUGUUGCCCGAAUCACCUGGCCUGGGCUUCCCCUUCACCUCUUGGCUACAAAAUCUAGAGAAGAAACAUAUCCUUGCGCUUGACCUAGGCUGGAGAUGUUGUAGUGUGUGAUUGUACUAGGCAGAACGAGCCUGUCAAAUGCAGGGACGUUCUUCACCCUCUCUGUCAUCCCUCCCUAGCCUUCAGUUCUGUCCCGUGCUUGGUCCACGUGGUUCUGGAGAAGGUGCAGGCCUUGGCGAGAAAGGAGCUGCCCGGAAUGCAGGUGAAGUGCUGUGCCAAUCCCUAGGCUUUGUCCUGUUAGUUUCGUCACGCUUACGCCCCAUUCUGUUCUCUUUUCCCUUCCUCUCUGGUCUAAUACUUUGAUACCUGCUCACCUAGAAAUUCAUGCACACACAGAUCUUUGUGAUCACGCUGGCACUUGGGCUGCUACCCACUCACGCACGCUCUUACACACGUUUACGUACACAGGCGUUUCUAUUUAAUACUCAUUUGCCUAAUCUUUUCAGUUGGGAGCGCUAACCUCCUGCCACUGGAAUGGGUUAGUGAUUCCUUCCCUGGCGAGUAGGAGGGUAGGUGGCGAGCCCUGAAAAGUCGUUUGAACAGUAGAGAGCUGUUCUUCAUAUGACCGGUGAAGAAAAUGAAGAUCUUUAAAGGUAAUGCCCUGAGGUCUCCUGUUGGUCUUUGUAGUCUCUGUACGCUCAUGACUCAUGAGCCUUUCUUGCCUUCUGGGGAUGACCUCAUCUUGGAGAUUUCCAGGUGUUCACAGAGCGCAGCAAGUCCGGAGUCCAGUAGGUGGCACCAUCUACUGAUGCUGGAAACAGUUUACCAAGACACUGCCCCUCAAAGCUGGAAAGCUAGUGGAGAGAAGUAGGACCCUGACAGGUUGCAGAUCGAGUUAGGAGUUGAUAGUAACGCUCCAUCUUCCUCUGGUUCCUUAGUAGGGAAGUCUUAUCACCUUUUCUCCUGUCUCUUAUUUAUCUGUUUUCCUUCUUCACAAUACAGAAAAUGCUGUUGCCCCCCCCAUGCAUAGCUGGUGGGAAAUAAAUUAGUUUGGAUGUGGCGGCA